rnacentral:rRNA from 1 species
GUCGAGCGAGAAGUGACUUCGGUCGCGAGUAAAGCGGCGAACGGGUGAGUACUAUGCGGAUAAUCUACCCUAGGGUCUGGGACAACCCCGAGAAAUCGGGGCUAAUACCGGAUAAGACCACAGUAUCCAAGGAUACAGCGGUAAAAGAUUUAUCGCCUUUGGAUGAGUCCACGCCCCAUCAGGUAGUUGGUAAGGUAAAGGCUUACCAAGCCUAAGACGGGUAGCCGGCCUUAGCGGGUGAACGGCCACAUGGGGACUGAGACACGGCCCUGACUCCUACGGGAGGCAGCAGUGGGGAAUAUUGGGCAAUGGGCGAAAGCCUGACCCAGCGAUGCCGCGUGAGGGAUGAAGGCCUUCGGGUUGUAAACCUCUGUCAGGAGGGACGAUGGGACACUUGUGUCUUGACGGUACCUCCAGAGGAAGCCCCGGCUAACUCCGUGCCAGCAGCCGCGGUAAUACGGAGGGGGCAAGCGUUGCUCGGAAUUACUGGGCGUAAAGGGUCCGCAGGCUGUCAGGCAAGUUGGUUGUGAAAUCCCAAGGCUUAACCUCGGAAUUGCAUCCAAAACCGCCUGACUAGAGUCCAAGAGAGGUUGGCGGAACUCCCGGUGUAGCGGUGAAAUGCAUAGAUAUCGGGAGGAACACCAGAGGCGAAGGCGGCCAACUGGCUUGGUACUGACGCUCAGGGACGAAAGCGUGGGUAGCAAACCGGAUUAGAUACCCGGGUAGUCCACGCCCUAAACGAUGGAUGCUAGGUAGGGGGAAUUUAAUUCUCCCUGCCGUAGUUAACGCAUUAAGCAUCCCGCCUGGGGAGUACGGUCGCAAGGCUGAAACUCAAAGGAAUUGGCGGGGGCCCGCACAAGCGGUGGAGCACGCGGUUUAAUUCGAUGCUAAGCGAAAA